AGCGGGGUAGGGCAGCCAGGAGUGCCCGUCGGGCUCAUAACCCGAAGGUCGAAGGUUCAAAUCCUUUCCCCGCUA
rnacentral:tRNA from 1 species